GGGCGGGGAAGGAAACGUGAUGAUUGCGCAAGCGCAGAAAAUGGGCCCUCUUGGCCGUCGGGACUUGCACUGUUGGUGACUCCGUCUCCUUAGACGGUGGAGCCUGCGUGACCCAGAAAGGCCAUGGUGAGCUCCUUAGAGGGAAGUAUAGUACAUAUUUCCUCCAUGUCUCCAGUACCCAACACAGUGCCUGACGUUGAGAGGGCUCUUAAUAAGUGUUUGUGAAAGACUGAUAGAGCAAUGCCCUAUGAAACAAGAAACAGGAUAACAUUGCUUAGGACUCAGAGGAGAGAGGAGUGUGGUCUACACUGCACAUCUCUGCCAAGCCUGGCACGGGAUUUGAAGUUCCACACCACUGAGCCAAACACAUCCAGGCCCUCUUCCAACCCGGGGAUCUGGUGGUAAGCAAAAUACUAUUCCAGCAAGUGAUGCCCCCAGUCUCCUAAGGAUAUAAGAAACAGGAAGUUGUGUUUGGCUGCGGACAAACUCUCUCAGUGCCCCUGGGACUUACAAGAUGUUUGGAAUGAGGAACGCUCUCCCAAUGCGAGCUCAGUGGAGGCCCCCAGAAAAACGUGGGGAGGAGAGUUUUCCCCAUAAGACAGACUGUCCUUCAGCCCCGGCCACCAAAGAGGAGUAACCCGGGCCUGCUGUUCUCUGGGACUGAAUGCGGCUGCAUCCUUCCCUUCCUCUGCUUCCUGUCCCGGUACUUACUGAUGGUGCACGCGCGGGGCUUGGGGAAGCUGAGUGUCUAACCCGCGGUGCAGCUAGGAUGGGAAAUUCUGGACAGGGACGAGCCUGUCUUCACCUGAGGAAUUCCCUCCCACAUCACACAGGGCAGAGUGGGAGUGGAGGAGGGCAGAGGACACGUCUCAGGGCCAGUAACCUAGGCUUAUAGAAGACGUCGUCACCGUCCUCAUGCUGUUCACCCCGUCUCCUGUUUUUUGGGGCCAUGUGUUCCGAAAUGUAGCUUCAACUCAUCAUAGGGGCAAAAAGAAGUGAUGAGUCCGUGGCAGCAGAAAUCUGGGAAUCCAAGGGUCGUGCUACAUCUAGUCCUCUUUGGUAAAUUCUGCCUUCCUGUUCACAUUUUUCGAGAAACCAUUUUGAAUUCCCAAACAGCAAAGGAAAUGCUGCAGGUUCCUGGAGGGACCUGGUGAUCUGGGGGCAGAGCACACGGAGUCGAGAUUGCUGUGGGGUUCACGAGCCUCCCCUCCUGGGACCAGGGGCACCUGGGCAGGGGAGUCUGCACUACGCAGGAAAGCCCAGUACACGCAGCUGCUCAACGCUGCAGAUGCCAUAGCGCAGGGCUGACAAGGCCUCCCUCUUUAUCUGCCCUGGACCACAAGUGGAAAAUAUCAAGACAAAGCAAAAGCCAAUAUCCCUUAAGAACUUUCCAAUUGUUCUUGUCAUUUGUAGUUUUGUUUUUUGGGGGGUGUGGGGAGGGAGGGGUGGUUUGAAACAACUCCGGAGCACACUCCAGAGGAAAACAGGAAGGGUGACAUGUGUGGACACCAGAAAAGAGGAAGAGUCCUCACUAAGAGGGUCACUUGGUUAAAAAGUUCAAGCACAAAGGAUGUAGAAGCAGGUGGAUGUCAUCAGAGAACAGAUGCGGAUCUAGUGAGAUGGGUCCUGCCACCCCUGGAAUAUGUUCCUGGGAGAGGGGUGGUCUGCUGGAGUGGACUGGGAAUAGUAAUAUUGCAUACUUUUGUAAAUUCACAAAACCCUCUGAUCUGUGAUAGAGGAAUAAAGGGCAGAGGAUAAACCCCA
rnacentral:lncRNA from 1 species